ensembl:lncRNA
GAAUUGUGCAUGGGCUUUGCUGAUGAUGAAUCCCUCCACUCCCAUUUGUCUAACCUCUUGGAGACAAAGGAGAUGGUUUAAAAUACAUGCUCAGAUAUCAACAAGAGAACAGUGGUUACCUGUCACAUUCUCCUGAAAAGGCAGGACUCCAGGUCUUUGGGCUGGAUGCACCUGAGUGUCCCUGGCCCAUUUUGGUGGUAUUUCGGAAAAGAAGCUCCAGGUCAGAGCAUGGUUCACGCGAGUGGUUAAGGGGCCCGUGGCCCCAGCUUGUUUCUCUGGAGGCUGGGGCUUGGGGGCCUCUUAGCUAGAGUAUAGUGUCCCCAUGGAAUACCUGAAAUUGCCAGCUGCCCUCAGCAUGAGAUCAGUAUGUCAGUCUUCUCCAGGGAGGGGUGAGGCUACAUAUGCGUCUCCCGUCUCCUAAGGUGGGCUUCCCUGACCUUCUGUUGAGAAUGCUGCCAGAUGUGAGAGUUGGACUGUGAAGAAGGCUGAGCACUGAAGAAUUGAUGCUUUUGAACUGUGGUGUUGGAGAAGACUCUUGAGAGUCCCUUGGACUGCAAGGAGAUCCAACCAGUCCAUUCUGAAGGAGAUCAGCCCUGAGUGUUCUUUGGAAGGAAUGAUGCUAAAGCUGAAACUCCAGUACUUUGGCCACCUCAUGUGAAGAGUUGACUAAUUGGAAAAGACUCUGAUGCUGGGAGGGAUUGGGGGCAGGAGGAAAAGGGGACAACAGAAGAUGAGAUGGCUGGAUGGCAUCACUGACUCGAUGGAUGUGAGUCUGAGUGAACUCUGGGAGUUGGUGAUGGACAGGGAGGCCUGGUGUGCUGUGAUUCAUGGGGUCGCAAAGAGUCGGACACGACUGAGCGACUGAACUGAACUGAACCUUCAUUUUUACCGAGACUUUUUAGUUAAAAUAGGUGAAGCACUCUCUACUUGGUUUAUGUGACAUUUACCAGUGCUCAUUUAUUUAUGUGAAUUCAAAUUACCCUCUGGGGUCACUGCUUUUGGUGAAAAAAUUAUACUGUGUGCACCAAAAACAAACUCAAUUUUUUUUUUUGAGUUACUUGAAAAUUUUUAUUUGGGCCAAGAUUUAUAUCCUCCGACCAUCCUAAGUUUUUGUUUAUUGGGUAAUGUCUUUGUUUUGUCUUCUUUUUUUUUGUUUGUUUUUUAAAAGAUAGCUUUGCUAUAUCAGAUUCUUGAUUGACAGGUUUUUUUUUUUUCCUUUGGAUUAUGUUAUCCCAUUGCUUUUUGCCCUCUACUGUUGCUGAUGAGAAGUCAAUUGCUAAUCUUUAUUGAAUUUCUUACAAAUGGAAAGUCUUUUUUCUCUUGCCACCUCAAGAUCUUCACCUUGUAUUUGCCUUUCAGCCUUUUUUGUCAAACUGUCACAUGUCUAUCUGUGGAUUUCUUUGUGGAAUUUGUGGAGCUUUCUGAAUGUGUAGAUUAGUGUUUUCAAUAAAUUAGGAAUGAUUUCAACCAUUGUAUCUUCACAUAUGUUUUCUUUCUCCUUUUCUGAUAUUUCUCUUACAUGUAUCUUGAUGUACUUAAUGGCACUCCACAUUUCUUGAGGCUCUGUUCAUUUUUCUUCAUUCUUUUUUUCUUUGUUCUUUGGCUUGCAAAGUCUCUGUCAACUUCAGGUUUGUAAAUUGUUCUGCAAGAAUUUGGGCCUCUCUAGUUAAUUUUUCAUUUCAAUUGUACUUUUUAAGUCCAGAAUUUUUAUUUGGUUCUUUAAAAGUUUGUAUGUCUUUAUUGGUACGAGCUAUUUGAUGUAACAUUGUCAGCAUACUUUCCUUUAUUUUGUAAACCAUGGUUUCCACUAGUUAUUUGAACAUACUGUGUUUAUAACUACUUGAAGUCUCCAUUAACUGUUAAAUCCAACAUCUGGUCACUCUCACAGGCAAUUUGUGUUGUCGGCUUCCCCCACCCACCCCCCCACCCCCCCCCCCGAUGUGUAAGUCAUGUUUUUCUGUUUCUUUGUAUGUCUCAUACAUUUUGUUGGAAACUGGACAUUUUAGAUAGUUUAGGAUAGAAAUUCUGGGUUGUGGUCCCCGCUUCCAUUUACUUGAUUGCUUAAGUGAAAGUGAAGUGAAGUCACUCAGUCGUGUCCGACUCUUUGCGACCCCGUGGCCUGUAGCCCACCAGGCUCCUCCAUCCAUGGAAUUCUCCAGGCAAGAAUACUGGAGUGGGUUGCCAUUUCCUUCUCCAUUGCUUGUUUAGUGACUUUUAUUUCAGUGAAGUCUAUUUUACACAAACACAUGGAGUGUUAAACCUUUGAUGUUGCUUCUCAACCAAUGGUGUGCAGCCUUGAGUGUGCCCAGCUGCCCUGGAUGACAGUGCAUUGGCAGGGCUUCUUUUUGGCGGUCUUUUCCCCUGAUUGCACCUAGCUGUUAAGCUCCACAACUUGUAGGAUAAUUGCUCUAUUGUUUUCAACAAUGCUCUAAGGCAUCGGUUGUUCCAGAGACUAAACCAAAUAGUUCCUGAGAUCAGUGUUUGAUAUUUGUUAUUAUCCUAGGAGAGCUACUCCCAGCGCCCCGCUCCCACCCCAAGUUCUCUACAGCAAACUAAGAGUCUUCAGUUUAGCCUCUGUCUUCAACAAAUCUACCAAUAUCCUCUUAUUUCUCACCACAAUCUCCAGUUUUUGAAUGCAUCAUUACGCGCGAACUUCUCCAUGUUCUUUGGCAAACAAAGUCAGUUUCUCUGGGAAGAGGCUAGGAGCUAUCUGUUUAUAGCCUGCUUCCUCCUCCAGAAAAAUCUCUGAGCCAGGGUUCUGGAACUGGGAAGUGGUAUAUGGACAGUGA